AGUGAACGCUGGCGGUAGGCCUAACACAUGCAAGUCGAACGGCAGCACAGUAAGAGCUUGCUCUUACGGGUGGCGAGUGGCGGACGGGUGAGGAAUACAUCGGAAUCUACUUUUUCGUGGGGGAUAACGUAGGGAAACAUACGCUAAUACCGCAUACGACCUACGGGUGAAAGCAGGGGAUCUUCGGACCUUGCGCGAUUGAAUGAGCCGAUGUCGGAUUAGCUAGUUGGCGGGGUAAAGGCCCACCAAGGCGACGAUCCGUAGCUGGUCUGAGAGGAUGAUCAGCCACACUGGAACUGAGACACGGUCCAGACUCCUACGGGAGGCAGCAGUGGGGAAUAUUGGACAAUGGGCGCAAGCCUGAUCCAGCCAUACCGCGUGGGUGAAGAAGGCCUUCGGGUUGUAAAGCCCUUUUGUUGGGAAAGAAAAGCAGCAGGUUAAUACCCCGCUGCUCUGACGGUACCCAAAGAAUAAGCACCGGCUAACUUCGUG
rnacentral:rRNA from 1 species